CUUCACGGCCACACCCGCCUAGUUCACGCCCGAUCCUCGUUUGAUCUCGGAAGCUAAGAUAGGGUGGGCCUGGUUAAUACUUGGAUGGGAGACCGCCUGGGGAAUACCAGGUGCUGUAAGCU
rnacentral:rRNA from 1 species